UUCCGGUCCUCCCGCGCUGUCACUUCCGGUGCGGCCCGGCGAGUCGCGCCGUCUCUAGGAGACGUGCGUAGUGACGUCAGAGCCGGGCGUCGCUGCCGGUCAGCCGGUGGCCGAGGCGGUGCGGGUGGUGCCGGCAGAGGCCGCGGUGGGCGCCGCCAUGGGGGAGCUGUUCCGCAGCGAGGAGAUGACUUUGGCCCAGCUUUUCCUGCAGUCCGAGGCCGCGUAUUGCUGUGUCAGCGAGCUGGGCGAGCUGGGGAAGGUGCAGUUCCGUGAUCUGAACCCAGACGUGAAUGUGUUCCAGCGGAAAUUCGUUAAUGAAGUCAGGAGGUGUGAAGAAAUGGACCGAAAGCUCCGAUUUGUUGAAAAGGAGAUCAAAAAAGCAAAUAUUCCUAUCAUGGACACGGGUGAGAAUCCAGAGGUGCCAUUUCCACGUGACAUGAUUGAUUUGGAGGCGAACUUUGAGAAAAUUGAAAAUGAGCUUAAAGAAAUCAACACAAAUCAGGAAGCUCUGAAAAGAAACUUCUUGGAGCUGACAGAGUUAAAAUUUAUACUGCGUAAAACUCAGCAGUUUUUUGAUGAGGCUGAAUUGCAUCAUCAGCAGAUGGCGGAUCCAGACCUGUUGGAGGAAUCCUCGUCACUCCUGGAGCCAAGUGAGAUGGGAAGAGGUGCCCCCCUGCGGCUCGGGUUUGUGGCCGGGGUGAUCAACCGCGAGCGGCUCCCCACGUUUGAGCGCAUGCUGUGGCGCGUGUGCCGAGGGAACGUCUUCCUGCGGCAGGCCGAAAUCGAGAACCCGCUGGAGGACCCGGUCACGGGGGACUAUGUGCACAAGUCUGUAUUUAUCAUCUUUUUCCAAGGUGACCAGUUGAAGAACAGAGUCAAGAAGAUAUGUGAAGGAUUCCGUGCCUCCCUCUACCCAUGCCCAGAAACACCACAGGAGCGGAAGGAAAUGGCUUCUGGUGUCAACACCAGAAUUGAUGAUCUCCAGAUGGUGCUGAACCAAACUGAGGAUCACCGCCAGAGAGUUCUGCAGGCAGCUGCUAAAAAUAUUCGGGUCUGGUUCAUCAAAGUCCGCAAGAUGAAGGCCAUCUACCAUACCCUGAAUCUGUGCAACAUUGAUGUGACACAGAAGUGCUUGAUUGCUGAAGUCUGGUGUCCUGUUGCUGACCUCGAUUCUAUCCAGUUUGCCCUCCGGAGAGGCACUGAGCACAGUGGUUCCACUGUCCCAUCUAUUUUAAAUCGGAUGCAAACCAAUCAGACCCCACCAACAUACAACAAAACCAACAAGUUCACCUGUGGCUUUCAGAACAUUGUUGAUGCUUAUGGCAUUGGAACUUAUCGGGAAAUAAAUCCAGCCCCAUAUACCAUCAUCACCUUCCCGUUUCUGUUUGCUGUGAUGUUUGGAGAUUUUGGCCACGGAAUCCUGAUGACUCUGAUUGCUAUCUGGAUGGUGCUUAGGGAGAGUCGUAUUCUGUCACAGAAAAGUGACAAUGAGAUGUUCAACACUGUUUUUAGUGGUCGAUACAUCAUCCUGCUGAUGGGGCUGUUCUCCACUUACACAGGCCUUAUCUACAACGACUGCUUCUCCAAGUCUCUCAAUAUGUUCGGCUCGUCGUGGAGCGUCCGGCCGAUGUUCUCCAAAGCCAAUUGGUCAGAUGAACUGCUUAAGACUACUCCUUUGCUUCAACUGGACCCUGCUGAAGCAGGAGUGUUUGGUGGCCCCUACCCCUUCGGCAUCGACCCGAUCUGGAAUAUUGCCAACAAUAAACUGGCCUUCCUCAACUCAUUUAAGAUGAAAAUGUCUGUGAUUCUUGGCAUUAUCCACAUGCUCUUUGGUGUCAUGUUGAGUCUUCUCAACCACAUAUAUUUUAAGAAGCCACUGAACAUAUACCUCGGAUUUAUUCCAGAGAUGAUUUUCAUGUCCUCGCUGUUUGGAUACCUCGUUAUUCUCAUUUUCUAUAAAUGGACAGCCUACGAUGCUCACACAUCAAAGGAAGCCCCAAGCCUUCUAAUACAUUUUAUCAACAUGUUCUUGUUUUCCUAUGGUGAUACCAGUAACAAGAUGCUUUAUAAAGGGCAGAAAGGACUCCAGUGUUUCCUCGUGGUGGUGGCAUUACUGUGCGUGCCGUGGAUGCUGGUAGCUAAACCUCUGGUCCUUCGCCACCAGUAUUUAAGGAGAAAGCACUUGGAAGGGCAGCCCGUGGAGGCCCAGGUCAGCACAGUCCCGAACGCGCAGGCACUAGAGGCAGCAGCGGCUGCAACAGGUGAAAGAGACUUUCUCUUGGAAAGAGCAAAGUUCAGCAAAGCUGAUGCAUUCUGGAAGAGCUGCCAGGCUGCUGGAUAAUAGUUACAUACGCACAGAAUGCAGGCACCUCUUUGCAGGAGUGUUGCUGAAAUCACAACCUGCAGAGCGGCACAAGAGUACCUUGCUGCCACAUCCCCCCAAGUUAAGUUCCCCUUUUUCCUUUUCUUGCGUAUUUGUUUAAGCGAGAGUAGGAUUUCUUUCAUUGAAGCAUUUUUGUUUACAUUGUGUUCCCAGGCAUUUUAGUGAUGGCCUCCCAACAUCACGGCAAUAAUUACUGGUUUGGGGCAUCUGUGCCUGUGUGGCACUUUGACUUAAAGCUGCUGUAAUGAGGUGGUGCACAAAUAAGCUACAGGCAGCCCUUCAGUGUGAAAGCUUUCUGGGAGAGCAAGGAUUGCAGCAGCUCCAGAACUUCAUCCCUUCCCCUGUACAUCAUAUUUUAGAUGGGUUUUAGUUCUGAAUGCCACCUCUCUAACAAGCUGAAGUCUUUCAAGCUAUGAAACACGUUGUACUUUGUGUCAGAGGUGAUUUGGGGACAACUUCUUAGCUGUUGGCUCCUGUUUCUGUUAUGAAAUCUUAAGUAGCUACACAGGUCAGAAAAGACAGUGCAUCUCUUGUGCAUAAUUCAUCCAACACAUUAAGUGCAUCCAGUAAGAGAAGCUGUGAGUGAAGAUGUUUGCUUGAAGUGUGGUUAGAACUGUGAAGUUGGUUGGAGCUUUUGGAGCUGUGGGAAGUUUGGCUGCAGAGAACAGACACAAGUUGAGUGUGAGGGAAGAGUUUCAAGGUGCAGAUUCAUGCAACCAGGAACAUAGAAGUGGAAUACUGAUACUAUUGAUCAGUAACUACUGAUAUUUUUUUUUACUGUGAUAAAAAUUGUAGUAGAAGUGCUAUCUUAGCUAGAAAUGUAGCCUGGCUGUUUUCAUCUUAUUUCUGUUUUCAGAGCAUAAAUGCCUAAUUUAUUUUUUUUAGAAACAUCCCAGCCAAAUCUUAAAUUCAUGUCUGAUAUUUUGGGCAAACGUUCAGCGUUAAGCAGAAGCUGGCCUUUAAGAGCAGAUCAGCUAAAGAACAGCACGCUGAGCAGCAGUGCUGCUGGACGCCAGAGCCGUGCAGUGUGGGAGCAGUCGGCUCUCAGAAUCUCAGUGCUUCAUUUUUGCCAGCCCUAAACUUACCGAGAAUUAAUGUUGCUACGUAGUUUGUUUGCAUUCCAUGUCACAGAUGACCCCAGUACAGUCCUGAGGCUGAGCACAGGGAUUUUGUUCCCAUUUGUGGCACUUUAGUUUGCUUCUGUAGGUAGGUCAGUCGGAGGCGUUCACGUCAGAUCAGUCACAAGCAUUCUGUGUCUUUGGAGCACGUGGCAGGAAGGAGGAGUCCUGCAGUGCGGUGCCACUUGCUGAGCACAAGUCCAGAAAUUGUGAUGUGCCACUCAGGCCUCCGUAGCGCGGCGCACAUUUAGAGCGCAGGAAAGCUCAGCUUGAGAGCGCAGUCAUGGUGAGCCGCUCCCUGCGUCCGCUCUCGGCUGUGAGGCUGUAGGUGCCUGCCGUGAGCCUCACGUUAACAGUGCCUGCAGUCACUGGGUGGCUCUCAGAGGGUGUCAGAUUGGGAACACACAACUUUGGUGGGAUCCGGGUGGGCAAUGGACCGACAGAGGAGGAUGCUGAGAUCAUCCAACAUGAUCAGUUGUCGACCCAUUCUGAGGAGGGGGAGGAG